GUCCGCGAGGACAAUUUGACAAUUUGACCUCAAAUCAGGUACGAUUGGCCCCGGCUUUU
rnacentral:rRNA from 1 species